rnacentral:rRNA from 1 species
UGGGGAAUAUUGCACAAUGGGGGAAACCCUGAUGCAGCGACGCCGCGUGAACGAAGAAGGUAUUCGUAUCGUAAAGUUCUGUCCUAUGGGAAGAUAAUGACAGUACCAUAGAAGAAAGCUCCGGCUAAAUACGUGCCAGCAGCCGCGGUAAUACGUAUGGAGCGAGCGUUGUCCGGAAUUAUUGGGCGUAAAGGGUACGCAGGCGGUUUAAUAAGUCGAAUGUUAAAGAUCGGGGCUCAACCCCGCAAAGCAUUGGAAACUGAUAAACUUGAGUAGUGGAGAGGAAGGUGGAAUUCCUAGUGUAGGGGUGAAAUACGUAGAUAUUAGGAGGAAUACCAGUAGCGAAGGCGACUUUCUGGACACAAACUGACGCUGAGGUACGAAAGCGUGGGGAGCAAACAGG